CUGCCUGCCAAGUGCCAACGCACACCGGAGAGCCGCGACCUCUCCGUCGCCCUCGCCCCCUCCCACCCUCCUCUGCCCUGCGUUGUCGUCUCCCUCGCCAGUCCGUCGCGCCCGCCGAGGAGCUGAGCUGAACCGAGGCCGGCCGUUGCGCGCCGCCCGAGAAGAAGACGAAGACGAGCAGACGACGGCUCCUCUCCUACGCCGUCCUCUCUCUCUUGAACUGAAACAGCGUCGCCCACAUGCUGAUCGGCAUGCCGCAGGCAGCAGCAGCAGUAGUGCACGGCAAGGACCCCAGCACCGUCCGUCCGGCGGCGGCGCUGCCCCUGAAGCUCCUCCGCCCUCUCCUCCUCGUGGCGGUGCUCGGCACGGGCUUCCUCGCCGCCGUGGCGCUGCUCGUCGGCGGCCCCGCCUACUCGUCCGCGCUCCCGCGCCCGCCGGUCGCCCUGCCGCCCGCGCCGCCGUCGGGCGGCGGGAAGCAGCCGCUGGAGCGGUGGGCGCGGGCGCCGGCGUCCGCGUGGCACAACAUGACCGACGACGAGCUGCUGUGGGCGGCGUCGUGGCGCCCCAGCGUCCGGCGCUACCCGUACCGCCGGACGCCCAAGGUGGCCUUCAUGUUCCUGACCCGCGGCCCGCUGCCGCUGGCGCCGCUGUGGGAGCGCUUCUUCGCCGGCGCCGGGGGCGGGGACGCCGGCCUCUUCUCCGUCUACGUGCACGCCACGCCGGGGUACCGCCCCGACUUCGCGCCGGCGUCCGCCUUCUACCGCCGCCAAGUGCCCAGCCAGGUGGCCGAGUGGGGCGAGCCGAGCAUGUUCGACGCGGAGCGGCGGCUGCUGGCGAACGCGCUGCUGGACCCGGGCAACGAGCGCUUCGUGCUGCUGUCCGAGUCGUGCGUGCCGCUGUACGGCUUCCCGGCGGUGUACAGCUACCUGACGCGGUCGCGGGAGAGCUUCGUGGGCGCGUUCGACGACCCGGGCCCGGGAGGCCGGGGCCGGUACCAGGGCGGGCUGGCCCCGGAGGUGGUCCGCGAGCAGUUCCGCAAGGGCGCGCAGUGGUUCGAACUGGAGCGCGCCCUCGCCGUCGACGUGGUCGCCGACGGCCGCUACUACCCCAAGUUCCGGGAGCACUGCCGGCCGCCGUGCUACGCGGACGAGCACUACCUGCCGACGGCGCUCUCCAUCCUGGCCCCCGCGCGGAUCGCCAACCGCAGCGUCACGUGGGUGGACUGGUCCCGCGGCGGCGCGCACCCGGCCACGUUCGGGGAGGCCGACGUCGGCGAGGCGUUCCUCAGGCGGCUCACGGCGCCCGGGAAGGACCAGGGCAACUGCACCUACAACGGCCAGCCGGCGCAGGUGUGCUUUUUGUUCGCAAGGAAGCUGGCGCCCGGCACGCUGCAGCCGCUGCUCAGGCUCGCCCCGAAGCUGCUCGGAUACGGCUGACUGUCACUGUCACUCUGACUGCUCACCUCUGAAUCUGAAUCUGAAUCUUCUCCAACGUGACACAAAGACACCUCUGAAUCUGAUUUAACGC
rnacentral:misc_RNA from 1 species